rnacentral:rRNA from 1 species
UACGAAGGGGGCUAGCGUUGCUCGGAAUUACUGGGCGUAAAGCGCACGUAGGCGGUCUUUUAAGUCGGGGGUGAAAUCCUGGAGCUCAACUCCAGAACUGCCUUCGAUACUGGAAGACUCGAGUCCGGGAGAGGUGAGUGGAACUGCGAGUGUAGAGGUGAAAUUCGUAGAUAUUCGCAAGAACACCAGUGGCGAAGGCGGCUCACUGGCCCGGUACUGACGCUGAGGUGCGAAAGCGUGGGGAGCGAUCCGG